GCACUUGUGGCCCAAUGGUUAAGGCGCCCGCUUCCUACAAACAGCGAAGGUUUUAAACCCACUCAGUACGAGCGGGAGAUUGUGGGUUCGAGUCCCACCAGGUGUA
rfam:Neolentinus lepideus HHB14362 ss-1 unplaced genomic scaffold NEOLEscaffold_18, whole genome shotgun sequence.